rnacentral:misc_RNA from 1 species
GGACAAUUGAAGUUCGGUUUCUUGACGUUUCUUCUUCCUAUGAGCCUCGCCUUAGUUAUAUGUUACCUAGUGUUUGUACUGUUGUGAGAAAUUGUAUUUCCUGUUUAUGGUGAGUUGAUUAAUCCAAUUAUUAAGCUGCAUUCUUAUUUGGUCUGUUAGGCGUUGGUGCAGGACUGAUUAAUUUUCUUCUGUAUUAUAUGAGUAAAUUUGGUUCACACGAGGCAGCUACAAAUGGAAUAAUGGAAAAAAAGUAUAGUAAGAGUCAAAGCUACGCCUCUGCCUUGCUUUGCUUAUUCUUUGUCCUUUUCUUUCAAGCUGUGACCUCUACGGUACUACUCAGUAUUUCAUAAGUAUUGGUCAUAACCCACGUCCUGAGCAGAAGAGUAGAUAGCUGCCGAAGUUUCUGAAUUUCGAGGCUAUAUUACAAUCGCUGAACAUUGCAGACGAUCCUCCAAGGGAAGCAUGUAAUUUUAUUCUCCUUUCAAAGAUCAUGGCCUCAAAGCAGUAAUUAGGGAUGAUGCUCGAACUUAAAAUUAGAGAUUUUUUGGCCUUGCAUUUUGUCAUAAACAAGCUGCUGAUUGUAAUAAUUCAUAGUUUGUUCAAAGGAAACUUCAACUAAGGAAAAAUAAAAAUAAUAAAAAUCUAAAGGAAAAUUGUUUGGAUACUGAGCCCUGAGGAGGCAGUGGUGAAAUGUUGGGAUUGAGAGUGGAGUGAGCUGGACUUAGUUGAUAGAGCUGAGAUGAGCUUAGUGAGUACUGGUUAUAACUGGGUUAGUUGUAACAGAAUAAAGAGUAAC